CACCACAAGAACGCGUGGAGCAUGUGGCUUAAUUUGACUCAACGCGGGAAAUCUUACCGGGUCCGGACACACUGAGGAUUGACAGGCAAUAUUAAUACGUUUUGCUUCGGUAACAUCGUAUUAUGUUAAAUAUGCUAGUCCUUUCAUGAUUAUGUGAUAGGUGGUGCAUGGCCGUUCUUAGUUCGUGGAGUGAUCUGUCUGCUUAAUUGCGUUUCACUAAGGGCCUAUAAAUUUACGUGUGUUGCAUCGCACUUUGACCCCUUUCUUUAAUUAGAGAGCGCGUGUCUUAGUUUUCGCUUUGCUCAUACAAUUAGGUCCUGAAAGCAACGAACGUGACCGCAACCUCUUGUUGCCUUUAUACCAAACAUGUUUUGCGUCAAUUUUCGAAUUGCGCGCAUUUCAUGAAAAAAGGCUUUUUAAACUAGAGGGACCGCUGUUACUUUCUUAAACCAGAGGAAGGUUGCGGCAAUAACAGGUCUGUGAUGCCCUUAGAUGUUCCGGGCUGCACACGUGCUACAAUGAUUAUUGCAAGUGAGCAUCUCAUUUUUACACACCGCAUGCGCGAGUCCAUUUAUUCACCUUCGGGUGUUUUAAAUGUGUAUCUCUGCGCGCGGUAAAGCCUGCUUCGGACAGUAAGUGGGUAAUCAAUUAGAAGUAAUGAUUUCCUUUUUUUUAGCACACAUAUAUACGGCGUCUAUGCCCGGGUGACCUUUUUMUAGCUUUUGKNGUAUAGAUGUUUUUUCCGNAUGUGUGAUGUCAAUUCAUGGUGGGGACAGACCAUUGUUAAUUGUUGGUCUCGGUCUUUAACKUAGGAAUGCCUUGUACGGGUCUUUGGUUCAACAAACCACCCGGAAUACGUCCCUGCCCUUUGUACACACCGCCCGUCGCUCUUACCGAUGGACUUCUCUGUGAGUUUGAGGGACUGGGAACGCAGGAAUUUAUUUCUUGCACACCUUAGUGGAAACUUUAAACGAACAGGUGGUGGCCUUAAAGGAAAGAGAAGUCGUAACAAGGCAUA
rnacentral:rRNA from 1 species